GCAGCCUGCAACCCGGCUGCACGAAGCCGGAAUCGCUAGUAAUCGCAGAUCAGCAUGCUGCGGUGAAUACGUUCCCGGGUCUUGUACACACCGCCCGUCACACCAUGGGAGUCGGAAAUGCCCGAAGUCAGUGGCCCAACCGCAAGGAGGGAGCUGCCGAAGGCAGGUCCGGUGACUGGGGUGAAGUCGUAACAAGGUAGC
rnacentral:rRNA from 1 species